rnacentral:rRNA from 1 species
AUGGCCUCCUGCGACGACGACUUCGGCCUCCUCGGUGACGACGCCCACCCCGCUCCCCAGCCUUCCGCCCAGCCGGCCCCGCCGCAGCAGGCCCAGGGCUUCUGCCUCGUCGAAGCCUCGGCCGCGGGCUCCGGCGCCGGCCCCGGCCCCUUCGCGCCGGCCCGGGAGGAGGGCAACCACAGCUCCGACCGCGGGAAGGCGUCGUACCACACCAAGCGGCGGAGGGACCGCCCGGAGGAGUUCAGCGAUGGGGGCGAGUACUGCUCCUACAUCAGCGGCGGGGGGAGGAAGGGCCGUGGCGGCGGCGUCUCGUCGGACUACCGGAAGGAUCGGGAGGAGUGGACGGACGGCGCCAUCAGCAGUCUCCUCGACGCAUACAUGGACCGGUUCGAGCAGCUCAACCGAGGGAAUCUCCGGGGGCGGGACUGGGAGGACGUCGCCGCUGCCGUGACCGACGGGCAAGGCAAGAGCAGCGGGGGCAAGAGCGUGGAGCAGUGUAAGAAUAAGAUCGACAACCUCAAGAAGCGGUACAAGGUAGAGUGCCAACGCAUCGCCGGCUCCGCCUCGGCCAGCCUCUGGCCCUGGUACAAGCAAAUGGAGCAGAUUAUGGGCAACUCCCCAUCGCCCGGCACCCCCAAGCCGCCGCCGGCCACCAACGACGAUAAGCCGCGGCAACAGCAGCAGCACAGCAACAAGAGGUACCCUUCUUCCGGCACUGGCCACGCUACCACCAUGGUUCCUUAUUCCAGAUCCACUCCUCUCUCGAAUCCGAAAUGGAAAAGGGUACUUCUGAAGAUUGGGGGCACUGCAUUGGCUGGAGAAGCUCCUCAUAAUGUUGACCCUAAGGUGAUCAUGCUGAUUGCCAGAGAAGUUCAAGUGGCAUGCCGCCAUGGUGUUGAGGUGGCUAUUCUCAUGGGAGGUCGGAAUGUAUUCUGCGCUGACUCUUGGGUUGCUGCCACUGGCACUGAUAGAGCUUCAACGCAUCCGAUUGGAAUGAUGGCAGCAGUGAUGAAUGCAGUAUUGCUCCAAGCGUCACUGGAAAAAAUAGGUGUGGAGACACGAGUCCAGACUGCAUUGAUGAUGCAAGAGGUUGCAGAACCAUACAUAAGGCGGCGAGCUAUACGCCAUCUGGAAAAAGGAAGGGUUGUUAUCUUUGGUGGAACUGGUGCUGGUACAGGAAAUCCACUUUUUACAACAGAUACAGCUGCUGCACUGAGAGCUUCUGAAAUCAAUGCAGACGUUGUCCUUAAAGGUGUCAUUGGAGAUGAUGAAUAUGGUUGUCCUCCUAGGAGCAACGGCAGUGCACCAUUUGAGCACAUCUCAUUUAGGGAGUUGGCAGCAAGAGGAACCAGCAAAAUGGACAUGACAGCAAUUACAUGUUGUGAGGAGAACAAUAUUCCUGUUGUCAUCUUUAACAUGUUAGAGCCUGGUAACAUGUCCAGAGCUAUUUGUGGCGACCAAGUAGCGUGCAUCUUCGUUGAUUGCAUGGAUCUUUGUGGAUGGGAGAGAGGGUAA